rnacentral:rRNA from 1 species
CUACGGGAGGCAGCAGUGGGGAAUCUUGCGCAAUGGGCGAAAGCCUGACGCAGCCAUGCCGCGUGAGUGAUGAAGGUCUUAGGAUUGUAAAGCUCUUUCGCCCGUGACGAUGAUGACGGUAACGGGAGAAGAAGCCCCGGCUAACUUCGUGCCAGCAGCCGCGGUAAUACGAAGGGGGCUAGCGUUGUUCGGAAUUACUGGGCGUAAAGCGCGCGUAGGCGGCUUUGCAAGCCAGGGGUGAAAUGCCUGAGCUCAACUUGGGAAUUGCCUUUGGGACUGUGAGGCUUUGAGGACUGGAGAGGUGAGUGGAAUUCCCAGUGUAGAGGUGAAAUUCGUAGAUAUUGGGAAGAACACCGGUGGCGAAGGCGGCUCACUGGCCAGUUUCUGACGCUGCAGCGCGAAAGCGUGGGGAUCAAACAGGAUUAGAUACCCGAGUAGUC